UCUAAAAACAAAGAACACGAAGAACUCACACCUCCCUAGCCCAAACCCUUGGCUCAGACUGAACCCAGAUAGACCAUCAACUCUCCUCGUGAACCCAGGGGGCAGCGGCGAAGAACCCAGGCGGCAGCAGUGACGGUGGCGGCCACACCAAUAGUUAGGAGAACAGGAGGUGAUCAUGAGUUUAUGGGCUUAAGAGUGGAAGAGGAUCAUCACCCAUCAAGUGUUGCUGGAAGCCAAUGAACUAUAGUAAUUGCCUUGUGCUUAUUAUUUGCAUGUUGCUAGUAUUUGGUCAUGCUUACCAUAUGAUCCAAUAUAUCAAUUAUUACAAGUCUUAACCCAAACAAGUGUUGCUGGAAGCAGUGAAGUUGGUAGAUAUGGAAAAGGAAAUGGAACUGUUGCUGGAGGAAAAGUUGAAAAUAGAACUGGAAAAGGAUGAGGGUCAGCAGCAAUGCUAGUUUGUAGGACCUUUUAUAUGUUAGGACAUUUGAUUGUUAGAAUCUUUUGUGGUUACUGUUUUGUAUAGCUGUCCAUAAGCUUAUUUGAUGGUGUUAAUGGACAAAAGUAACCUAUUUUGUGUUGGUCUUAGGUAGGACCUUUGGUUUGACAAACAUUAUUAGUCACUGUUUUAUUUAUCUUAUGUGAUGUUUAUGUGUA